rnacentral:rRNA from 1 species
CAAGUCGAACGGAGUUAUAUUGUAGCUUGCUAUGGUAUAACUUAGUGGCAGACGGGUGAGUAAUGUAUAGGAAUCUACCUAGUAGUACGGAAUAAUUGUUGGAAACGACAACUAAUACCGUAUACGCCCUACGGGGGAAAAAUUUAUUGCUAUUAGAUGAGCCUAUAUUAGAUUAGCUAGUUGGUGGGGUAAUAGCCUACCAAGGUAAUGAUCUAUAGCUGAUCUGAGAGGAUGAUCAGCCACACUGGAACUGAGAUACGGUCCAGACUCCUACGGGAGGCAGCAGUGGGGAAUAUUGGACAAUGGGCGAAAGCCUGAUCCAGCCAUGCCGCAUGAGUGAAGAAGGCCUUUGGGUUGUAAAGCUCUUUUAGUGAGGAAGAUAAUGACGGUACUCACAGAAGAAGUCCUGGCUAACUCCGUGCCAGCAGCCGCGGUAAUACGGAGAGGGCUAGCGUUAUUCGGAAUUAUUGGGCGUAAAGGGCGCGUAGGCUGGGUUAAUAAGUUAAAAGUGAAAUCCCGAGGCUUAACCUUGGAAUUGCUUUUUAAAACUAUUAAUCUAGAGAUUGAAAGAGGAUAGAGGGAAUUCCUGAUGUAGAGGUAAAAUUCGUAAAUAUUAGGAGGAACACCAGUGGCGAAGGCGUCUAUUCUGGUUCAAAUCUGACGCUGAGCGCGAAGGCGUGGGGAGCAAACAGGAUUAGAUACCUGGUAGUCCACGCUGUAAACGAUGAAUGUUAAUUAUGGGGAGUUUUACUUUUCUGUAUUAACA